rnacentral:rRNA from 1 species
UACGGAGGGGGGCUAGCGUUGUUCGGAAUUACUGGGCGUAAAGCGCACGUAGGCGGCUUUGUAAGUUAGAGGUGAAAGCCCAGGGCUUAACCCUGGAAUUGCCUUUAAGACUGCAUCGCUAGAAUUGUGGAGAGGUAAGUGGAAUUCCGAGUGUAGAGGUGAAAUUCGUAGAUAUUCGGAAGAACACCAGUGGCGAAGGCGACUUACUGGACACAUACUGACGCUGAGGUGCGAAAGCGUGGGGAGCAAACAGG